rnacentral:sRNA from 1 species
AGCAACAACAACUUAAGGAAGGAUUGUUUUAGUUUUAUAUGUUAACUCUGGUUGUUAAUUUUAUCACAUGGCUGAUACUCUGAUUUUGAA